GAUGAACGCUGGCGGCGUGCUUAACACAUGCAAGUCGAGCGAAACACUUAGAUUGAUUUCUUCGGAUUGAAAUCUAUUUGAUUGAGCGGCGGACGGGUGAGUAACGCGUGGGGAACCUGCCCUAUACCGGGGGAUAACAGUUAGAAAUGACUGCUAAUACCGCAUAAGCGCACAGUAUCGCAUGAUACAGUGUGAAAAACUCCGGUGGUAUAGGAUGGACCCGCGUUAGAUUAGUUAGUUGGCAGGGUAACGGCCUACCAAGACGACGAUCUAUAGCCGGCCUGAGAGGGCGAUCGGCCACAUUGGGACUGAGACACGGCCCAAACUCCUACGGGAGGCAGCAGUGGGGAAUAUUGCACAAUGGGGGAAACCCUGAUGCAGCGACGCCGCGUGAGUGAAGAAGUAUUUCGGUAUGUAAAGCUCUAUCAGCAGGGAAGAAAAUGACGGUACCUGACUAAGAAGCCCCGGCUAACUACGUG
rnacentral:rRNA from 1 species